GCUUCCAUAGCUCAGCAGGUAGAGCACUUCCAUGGUAAGGAAGAGGUCAGCGGUUCGAGCCCGCUUGGAAGCUUAAAUG
rnacentral:tRNA from 1 species